AUACCUUUCUCGGUCUCUUGGUUAUAAUCAAGUAUAGUAUCUUCUUAUCAGUUUAAUAUAUGAUAUGUAGGCCAUUGGUCCAUUAUGAUAUUAAAUUAAGUUUUUAUGAGGAGAGGGUUUAUUUCAAUAACUUGCUAUUAGAAUCCUUGUGUUGUUCUUGUGUUGCACUAUUGCAAGAUUCAGGUGCAAUAUUG